rnacentral:rRNA from 1 species
UUCGCCCUUAGAGUUUGAUCCUGGCUCAGGACGAACGCUGGCGGCGUGCUUAACACAUGCAAGUCGAACGGGCCUUAACGAAUAGAUUACUAUGAGCUAAGGUUAGUGGCGGACGGGUGAGUAACACGUGGAUAACCUACCUGACACAUCGGGAUAACACCGUGAAAACAGUGCUAAUACCGGAUACGUUCUUUAGGGCGCAUGGUCUAAAGAAGAAAGGGGGAACCCGGUGACAGAUGGAUCCGCGGCUGAUUAGCCAGUUGGUGGGGUAAAGGCCUACCAAAGCGACGAUCAGUAGCCGGCCUGAGAGGGUGAACGGCCACACUGGAACUGAGACACGGUCCAGACUCCUACGGGAGGCAGCAGUGGGGAAUCUUCCGCAAUGGGCGCAAGCCUGACGGAGCAACGCCGCGUGGGUGACGAAGGCCUUCGGGUUGUAAAGCCCUGUCAAAUGGGAAGAAAGGAAUGACAGUACCAUAAGAGGAAGCCACGGCUAACUACGUGCCAGCAGCCGCGGUAAUACGUAGGUGGCAAGCGUUGUCCGGAAUUACUGGGCGUAAAGGGCGAGUAGGCGGUUAAUUAAGUCAGGUGUGAAAACUGUGGGCUCAACCCAGAGAGUGCACCUGAUACUGAGUAACUUGAGUGCAGGAGAGGGCAGUGGAAUUCCUAGUGUAGCGGUGAAAUGCGUAGAUAUUAGGAGGAACACCAGUGGCGAAGGCGGCUGCCUGGACUGUAACUGACGCUGAGGCGCGAAAGCGUGGGGAGCAAACAGGAUUAGAUACCCUGGUAGUCCACGCCGUAAACGA